GACGAACGCUGGCGGCGUGCCUAAUACAUGCAAGUAGAACGCUGAAGGAGGAGCUUGCUUCUCUGGAUGAGUUGCGAACGGGUGAGUAACGCGUAGGUAACCUGCCUGGUAGCGGGGGAUAACUAUUGGAAACGAUAGCUAAUACCGCAUAACAGUAGAUAUCGCAUGAUAUCUACUUGAAAGGUGCAAUUGCAUCACUACCAGAUGGACCUGCGUUGUAUUAGCUAGUUGGUGAGGUAACGGCUCACCAAGGCGACGAUACAUAGCCGACCUGAGAGGGUGAUCGGCCACACUGGGACUGAGACACGGCCCAGACUCCUACGGGAGGCAGCAGUAGGGAAUCUUCGGCAAUGGACGGAAGUCUGACCGAGCAACGCCGCGGGAGUGAAGAAGGGUGUCGGAUCGUAAAGCUCUGUUGUAAGAGAAGAACGAGUGUGAGAGUGGAAAGUUCACACUGUGACGGUAUCUUACCAGAAAGGGACGGCUAACUACGUG
rnacentral:rRNA from 1 species